UACGGAGGAUGCAAGCGUUAUCCGGAUUUAUUGGGUUUAAAGGGUGCGUAGGCGGAACGGUAAGUCAGUGGUGAAAUCCUGCAGCUUAACUGCAGAAUUGCCAUUGAUACUGCCGAUCUUGAGUACAUAUGAUGUGGGCGGAAUGUGUCGUGUAGCGGUGAAAUGCUUAGAUAUGACACAGAACACCGAUUGCGAAGGCAGCUCACAAAACUGUAACUGACGCUGAGGCACGAAAGCGUGGGUAUCAAACAGG
rnacentral:rRNA from 1 species